rnacentral:rRNA from 1 species
GAUGAACGCUGGCGGCGUGCUUAACACAUGCAAGUCGAACGGAAAGGCCCAAGCUUGCUUGGGUACUCGAGUGGCGAACGGGUGAGUAACACGUGGGUGAUCUGCCCUGCACUUCGGGAUAAGCCUGGGAAACUGGGUCUAAUACCGGAUAGGACCACUUCUUGGAUGUUGUGGUGGAAAGUUUUUUCGGUGUGGGAUGAGCUCGCGGCCUAUCAGCUUGUUGGUGGGGUAAUGGCCUACCAAGGCGUCGACGGGUAGCCGGCCUGAGAGGGUGUACGGCCACAUUGGGACUAAGAUACGGCCCAGACUCCUACGGGAGGCAGCAGUGGGGAAUAUUGCACAAUGGGCGCAAGCCUGAUGCAGCGACGCCGCGUGGGGGAUGACGGCCUUCGGGUUGUAAACUCCUUUCGCUAGGGACGAAGCGUUUUGUGACGGUACCUGGAGAAGAAGCACCGGCUAACUACGUG